UACUAUUCUACCCACACUCACGCAAUCUUCUCUUCCACAUUUCUCCUUUUUUCUUACCAAACAUACUUUAUAGUGCUAUGGCUGUGCUCUCUUCCUCAAUUUGACUCUCCCCAAAACCCUAAUCGAAAAAAUUUCCUUUCUUCUCUCUCUGUUGUUGUGUUCUAUAUAAGCAUACAUAUAGAUUUAUUGCAUAAUUUUCCUCAAGGAGCGGUGUUGUAUAUUGCUUGCUUCUUUCUCUCUCUCUCUCUCUCUCGCUCGCCAAUUCUCACUAUUAUACAUACACAAAGCUCUCUAUACAUAUAUAGAGAUACAUAUACAUAUAUGUAUAGAUAGAUAGAUAGACGAAUGUGGAAGGAAAAGUGGGGCGGUGGGAGAGGUUGGUUGAUCUAGGGUUUUAAUUUCGUCUGCCUGAUAUUAUGGAGAGAUCCGAUUCCAAGGACUUUCCCGACGCCUCCUCCUCAUCCUCAUCCUCAGCUGCUCCUGCUUCUGCUUCUUCCUUUUCUGAAAAUGCCCUUUUUGAUGCAUCGCAAUACGCCUUUUUCGGCAAAGACAUAGUGGAGGAAGUCGACUUGGGGGGUUUAGAGGAGGAAUAUGAUGAUAUCGCUAGUAUUCCUGUACUUGGGGGAUUUGGCGCCCGUGACGACGAUUUGCAGGAGUACCAUUUGUUUGACAAAGAUGAGGGAUCAGGUUUGGGAUCUUUAUCUGAUAUGGAUGAUCUGGCAACUACAUUUUCAAAGUUGAACAGAGUUGUCACUGGGCCACGACAUCCAGGGGUUAUUGGAGAUCGAGGAUCUGGAUCAUUUUCAAGGGAAAGUUCAUCUGCUGCAGAAUGGGUGCAGGAGUCAGAUUUUCCAGAGUGGCGAGACCAUAUGUCUGACUCAGAGUUUUACCCAGAAGGUAAGAGAUGGUCGUCACAGCCUCAGCUUUCCUCUGGAAAGCCAUUGUAUAGAACAUCUUCCUAUCCACUGCAGCAGCAACAGCUGCAAAGAACAUCAUCGUACCCUCAGCAGCAACCACAGCUGCAACACUUUGCCAGUGAACCUAUUAUUGUGCCCAAGUCUUCUUUCACUUCCUUCCCACCACCUGGUGGCAGAUCUGAACAAGCUUCUCCAAGCGGCUAUUCACCUCACAUGAACAUUUCAUCUCUUGCUAGUGGGUCUCACUCACCCUUCUCAGCACCAAAUGUCUCUCAUUUAUCCAACUCCAAUAUGCAUCUGGCUGGAUUGCCUCAUGGGUUUCCUUAUGGUAGAAAUAUGGCUCAAUUAACUCCCCUGAACGCUCGGUCACAGAACCAGUGGACUGGCCCUGGUAACCUUUUUGAUGGGGGUCAUUCUAACAUGUUAAACAGUUUUUUGUAUCAACAAUUGCCUUUCCAGAAUGGAUUAUUGCCACCACAUUUAAUGUCAACCCAGCAGCAGUUGCAGCAAGCAAGACUUCACCUUUCAGUUCAACCAUCCGUAGCCCAUUUCUCAGCACUUCGAUCUCAGCUUUAUAACAGCUUUCCUUCACCAGCACACCUGAGUAAAUACGGUUUAGCUAAUAUGAAGGAUUCAAGACCCAAAUCAACAAAGAAGGGUAAGCACAAUGUGCGCUUUUCUCAACAAGGCUCAGAUGCUGGUAGCCAGAGGAGUGAUAGUAACUGGCCUCAGUUCAGAUCCAAGUAUAUGACAGCUGAUGAAAUAGAGAGUAUUCUUAAAAUGCAACAUUCUGCAGCCCAUUCCAAUGACCCAUAUGUGGAUGAUUAUUACCACCAAGCUCGUCUUGCAAAGAAAGCAGCCGAAUUGGGGUCAGAGCACCGUUUCUGCCCGGCCCAGACAAGAGAGUCAUCCUCUAGAUCCCGUAAUAGUACAGAAUCACAGCCUCAUCUCCAUGUUGAUGCUCUUGGAAGGGUUUCCUUCUCAUCUGUUCGUAGGCCCCAACCACUCCUUGAAGUUGACCCACCUGCCUCAGCUUGUGGUGAUGGCACUGGAGAACAGAAAACGUCAGAUAAGCCUUUAGAGCAAGAACCGAUGCUUGCAGCCAGAAUUACAAUAGAAGAUGGCCUUUAUCUUCUGCUUGAUGUUGAUGACAUUGACAGGCUUUUACAAUUCAGUCAGCCUCAAGAUGGUGGUGCUCAGCUCAGGCGGAGGCGGCAGGUCCUCCUAGAAGGCUUGGCAGCUUCACUACAGCUUGUUGAUCCACUUGGAAAAAGCGGCAGCUCAGCUGGGCUGGCUCCCAAGGAUGACAUUGUGUUCCUGCGAUUGGUCUCUCUUCCCAAAGGCCGAAAACUAAUUUCCAGGUUCAUUCAACUUCUUUUUCCUGGUGUUGAGCUGGCCCGAAUAGUUUGUAUGGCUAUCUUCCGUCAUCUAAGAUUUUUGUUCGGUGGCCUUCCUUCUGAUUCAGAAGCAGCCGAGACCAUCAUUAAUCUUGCACAAACAGUUUCAGCAUGUGUUAGUGGAAUGGAUCUUAAUUCUCUGAGUGCUUGUCUUGCUGCUGUAGUCUGUUCCUCAGAACAGCCACCUCUCCGACCACUUGGAAGUGCUGCUGGAGAUGGGGCCUCGAUUAUCUUGAAAGCUGUGCUAGAAAGGGCAACUCACUUAUUAACUGAAUCCAAGGCUGCUGGCAACUACAGCAUUCCUAAUCCUGCCCUGUGGCAGGCAUCCUUUGAUGCCUUCUUUGGUCUUCUUACCAAGUAUUGCCUCAGUAAAUAUGAUAGUAUUGUGCAAUCAAUAUUUAACCAGAACCAGCCAGAUGCGGAGAUGAAUGUUCCGGAGGCUGCAAGAGCUGUUAGCAGGGAAAUGCCUGUGGAGCUCUUACGUGCUAGUCUUCCACACACUGAUGAGCGCCAGAGGAAGCUGCUGCUGAACUUUGCUCAGAGAUCCAUGCCGCUGACUGGUUUUAAUGCUCAUGGUGGGAGCAGCGGACAAAUAAAUCCGGAAUCUGUGAAAGGUUAGCUGUGGUGGCAAGGUGCAACAUCAAUGUGGAGGCUGUAAAUCCUUUGUGGAAGUCAUUCUCUGGUUGCUUCCGCUGUUGGGUGCUUUGCUCUUUUAAUGAAAUGAUUGCAAAGCCGAGAGAGAAAUGAGAGGGGUACCAUAAUGCUUUGGUGUCAUUUUUGUGGCCAAGGUUACAACAUGAUAUCCCUCCUUGUCUGCCUUCUCUUUUCCUCUCUCCCCCUUAUCUCUCCCUCUCCCUCUCCUCUCACUUCCCCUCUUCUCUCAGUUUAUUUCCUGCAUACUCUGAUGAACAUAUUGUCGUGAUUAACUGUGUAAUAUGUUGCAAGAUCUUGAAAGGGUUUAGAAACGAAAUCUUUUUUAUCCAGGGAGCCUUAUUUUUAUGCUCUCAUGACCCUCACGAACCCUGCAUAGAUAAGGUUAGAAUGUACAGGCUACUCGUCAAACUUGAAAGUAAUCCUAGCGUUUUCUCGUUUGUUGGCUGAUUCUUCCUCUUUUCGCGAGGGGCUUGAAGGGGUCUCAAGGAAUGAAGAAAGAAGAAUCUUAUUCAUCUGCUGUGCCUGAUUCUAUUGCCAAGAUGAAGGUCGUUUAGUUCUGCCUAGUUUUCAUAGCAUCUGUUUCGAAGAGGCUACGAAGGGUGAGGAGCUCCAAAUUUUGGUGGAAAGCCCUGCCUUCUGACAGUCGGGUUCAGAGCUGAAAGUGGUCCCUAACGUUGUUUCCCUCAUGUUUCAGACAGGGAGAAGGAGAGAGACGGGAGUUGUCCCUUGCUUCUGCGGUGGAAGUUUGUUUCUGUCUGUGACGUGAUAAAAAUUACUAUUAUUGCUUCUACAUGUCGGUUUGUGCUAGUCUUUUUAAGCUGAGUAGUGCGUACCGCUGAAGAAUCGACUCAAACGAUGUAUAUAUAUAUAUAUAUAUCAGCUGAUAUGGUAUGGGAA